AUUUCUCAACCCCUCUUGAUUUGAUUCGAGGGGGAGCUUGGAUGGUGGGGGUUUUGCCGUAGACUUGGGCCAAGUUCUUCUUGGUCUAGGAUUUGGGGCUCUCCUGAAAUGCAUUGGCUUGCGGUCGACUUUCGACUUUGCACGACAAGGCUUUCGGCGUGAUAAUGAUCGUCGUGUGCUGAAGUGCAUGAAUGAAGGUUCCGUGCCUCUAAUAUGUCGAUCCCCCUUUACAUUAGUAUAGGGGGGUCUUCCUCUCUGACUU
rnacentral:misc_RNA from 1 species